AGCGCUAUACCGCUUGCCAUCAACUACGCAUGUCCAUUCUGGAGUGUUUGUUUACUUGCGUUGUAUGUGCGUGCGACUGCUUCCCCAGGCUUUUGCAUAACAUUGUUUUAAGGUUUAAACCUUAUUCUGCCGAUAUGGCAGCCACAGCACCGAACCCGGACGAUUCGAACAGAAGCAGCGGCAGUGGAACCAGCCCACCCACUGUACUCGCGGGGGAUGGGGAUUCAGAGGAGGCCGAAGAUUUUACAUCUUCAACCCACUGCUCAGAGCUGUCUCGUCGGCAGAAUGAGCAGAGGAAGACCGGGUUGUUCUGCGAUGUGACGUUGGCCUUCAGUAGCGGGGCAGCCAGCGAAAGGGUCCAAAGUUGCGAGUUCACGGCCCACCGUUCGGUUCUGGCUGCAUCUACGGACUAUUUCACCCCUCUACUGGGGGGGCAAUUUUCUGAGUCGCUGUCCGGGCGGGUGGAUAUGAAAGAAUGGAGCUCUGAAACGGGGCCCGACCCAGAGACAGUGGAAAGCGUCAUACAGUUCAUGUACACUGGUGAAAUACGAGUGAGCACCGCCAACGUUCACGAAGUAUUGGAACUAGCUGACAGGUUCCUGCUGGUGCAGCUGAAAGACUUUUGCGGUGAGUUCCUGAAGAAGAAGCUGAGCCUGGCUAACUGCGUAGCGGUGCACAGCCUGGCCCACAUGUACACGCUGGACCAGCUUGCCCUGCGUGCUGCUGACAUGAUCAGACGCAACUUCCACAAGGUCAUCCAGGACGAAGAAUUCUACACGCUCCCCUUCCACCUGGUGCGGGACUGGCUGUCCGACGCCGAGAUCACCGUGGACUCGGAGGAGGUGCUCUUCGACGCUAUCGUCAAAUGGGUACAGCGCAACGCUGAGGAGCGAGAGAAGCACUUUGAGGAGCUGUUUCGUCUCCUCCGGCUUCCCCAGAUCAUGCCCACCUACCUGACCCAGGUGGUCAAGAAGGAGCCCUUGGUGGCCAACAAUGCCGCCUGCCUGCAGCUGGUGUCUGAGGCCGUGGAGGGCCACGCCAUUCGCUUUGAGAACCUCAAGUCAGUCGACCUAGAGUUCUGGGCGUCACACAUGGCAGCCUUCCAGCCGCGCUUCGGACAGAACAUGGACGUGAUCAUGGUGGUGGGCGGGGUGUCUGAGGGCGGCGACUACCUGAGUGAGUGCGUGGGCUACUUUGUGUAUGAGGACCGCUGGGUCAACUUGCCCCACAUCCACAACCACCUGGAUGGCCAUGCCAUCGCCACCACGGACUCCCACGUUUACGUAGCAGGCUCCAUGGAACCGGGCUUCGCCAAGACCGUGGAGCGCUACAACCCCAACCGCAACACCUGGGAACAGGUGAGUAACCUGACCACGCGCAAGCACUCCUUCGGCCUCACCUGCAUCAAGAACAUCCUGUACAGCAUCGGCGGCCACGGCAACUUCAGCCCGGGCUUCAAGGACGUGAGCGUGUACGAGCCCGAGCAGGACAAGUGGCACAACCUUGAGUCGGCCCCCAAGAUCCUACGCGACGUGAAGGCGGUGAGUGUGGAGGAUCGCUAUGUAUAUGUGACGGCGCGCACGCCCGUGGACACGGACAACGAGGACGGGCUGAAGACUGUGACCACGCGCUACGACACCGAGAGCCACCAGUGGCAGGAGGUGGACUCCCUGCCGCUCAUUGACAACUACUGUGUGUUCCAGAUGGCGGUGGCGCCCACCAACUUCUACCACACUGCCUCCUGCUGCCCCAAGAGCUAUGCCGUGCAGGACGAGACCGCAAAGCAGAAGAUCAGUGCUCGCAUCUCGGACGACAUCCUGGAGAGCCUGCCGCCUGAGGUCACCAGCAUCGAGGGCACUGCCAUCUGCUACCUGGGCGAGGACGUGUUUGUGAUCGGCGGCUGGAAGAACAGCGACGACGUGGACAAGCAGUACCGCAAGGAGGCCUACCGCUACUGCGGCGAGCGGAAGCGCUGGAUGCUGCUGCCGCCCAUGCCCCAGCCGCGCUGCCGUGCCACCGCCUGCCACGUACGCAUCCCCUACCGCUUCCUGUACGGCUGCCAGCGCUACCCUAUGCCACAGAACCUGGCGCGGCAGCGGGACCGCAUGCAGCAGAUGCAGCAGCUCCACCGCCGCACCCUCACCCUGCGCAGGCAGCUGCAGUCGCAGAUCGAGUGCUGAACUCCAUUCCGUCCUCCCACGAGCGGCAUCGUUUUCAGUGUCCGAUUCCCAUUUUCCUUUCAGUACUGUCCCUCCUGUCUAAUAUGCAGUUCGUUGAUAUUGCCACGCUUUUUUUCGGGGUUGCUUUUCAUUUUUUGGGCUCAGGUUUGUCGAUGAGAGAAAGUGUCUGUGGCAGUUGUAUGUGACAAUUGGCAUUGAAUAAACGUAUGACUAGACAAUGGAACGAUACGCCAUGUAAAAAGGACAUUAUUUAUGUAUGCUUUUGGCCUUACUUAAAUAUGCCUUCUCUUAAUCCUCUCUUAAUAUAUGCUUUCGAGAAGCGUUUCCCAAACUUGGUCCCGAUGAACCCAAAGUGUGCACAUUUUGGUUUUUGCCCUAGCACUACACAGCUGAUUCAAAUAAUCGAAGCCUGAUGAUGAGUUGAUUAUUUGAAUCGGUUGUGUAGUGCAGUGGAGGCUGCUGAGGGGAGGACGGCUCAUAAUAAUGGCCGGAGCGGCGCGAUGGAAUAAGCAUCAAACACCUGGAAAACUUGUUUGAGUUAUUUGAUACCAUUCCACUAAUUCCACUCCAGCCUUUACCACAAGCUGGUCCUCCCCAAUUAAAGUGCCAACAACCUCCUGUGGUGUAGUACAAAAUGUGCACCUGAGGACCGAGUUUGUGCAAACACUGCUUUAAAGUCUAGAUGCAGCAAUGCUCUAGCGUCAGCCUGUUAGUACUAUCAUGCCAACUCAGUUGCUGUCAAUGCCUGACGAGUUGAUCUGGGACCAGGCUAGCAAUGCUCCAUUCUAGCUUGUAAAUGGGAGUUCCUGUCCAACUACAUUAGACGCAUGCCAGAUCUUACAACUCCUGAUUAGGUUUUUAACACAUCUGCUAACCACAUCACAUGCUAUAGCAAUCUGAUGCCCGACUGCACAGUCGAUGACGUGGCACGGAACUAUUGGUUGAUGCAAUGCAACACUUACGCUUGUAGUCGGCCAGGAACUCGACCUUAGAAUGACAUUCCAUUUGACACUGUGAUGGUUCCCAUGACCACCUUUUAUGUGCUGGCUUUAGUGAGAUGCUAAGGCCCACACAAAGGGGAAGGUUUUUAAAGAUUUGCUUUAAUGUACAUCUAUUGAGUGCAUUGUAUUGACAGGCUACUCCUUUCAGUUUUAGGCUACUCCUUUCGCUUGCUUCAUUACAGUCUUCGGCCUGUUUCCUCCAUGGCUUUGUUUUGCACUAGAUAUAUGUGUUACGAUAGCUCAAUGUGUUCUGUACCAUUUGAAUGUUGGAAAGAGACUCGUAACACCAGAUUCGUUUGUGUUGUUUAAAUAUGCAUUGUAAAUAAUAGGAGAGGAACAAAAAGCACUUCAUUUUGGAAAGUCUCAAUCUAUUUUUGACCGGUUGGAUCUGGUUUUGUUUUUUGUUUUCUUUGUCAAAAGAGAGCUAUAAAAUUAUAAGUGGAGCAGAAUAAUGAUUUUAAGGGAACAAGUGUCCUCUGUAACUUGGGCCAAAUGAUAUCUACAGUAACUUAACGUUAAUGUUUUCUCGGGAGUCGUUGAGAGCACUCCUUUCUCCAUUCCAUUUAAUUGUGACAUUCCUAAAGCACGGUUAAUUGCACUUGAGUAAGCCUAUCGACUUUGCCCGCUUAUAAAAGUGGUCAACUGAACUGCCCUACCAAGCAAAAAGGCAGUAACUGCUCAUAGCGUGGAACUGAGGAAAAAAAUGGCUUUUAUUUACCUUAGUUUCACAGUAACCUUAUGCAGUUACUGCUAACAUGACCCCCACUUUCUCCAGAGCACAAUACAAAAGAGGCAGGAUACUUGUCCAUAUAAUUAAGCAUGUAUUUGAUGUAGCAAAAAUGACUAACUCGUUUUCGACCAAAUGAGCAGUUACUGCCUUUUUGCUUGGUAGGGCAGUGAAGACCUUACGCUACAAUUUCACUUUAUAAUUCCCCCAAUGCCAAAGCGUAACCUGGAAGUAAUUCUAUUUAGAAAUAAUGAACUCCACUACCUCACAGGAAGGCAGAUUAUGGCUACUGGGGUAACAUACCUACCCCACUUGCACAGGAAAGUUUAACGACACACUCAGGUGGUCUUCAAUGAAAUGUCUGUCAGUCAUUAUUUGGCUCGUUCGUUAACCUGAAACCAAGGUCAAAGACUUUAUUAGCAUUCCAUUGUGCUUACAUUACCGACGUGUGUGAAAUGUUCUUCAAGCCGUGAUGUUAUCUGGCGGUUUAAUAACUUUUUUUUUUCUUUCUGGAAACUUGUCUGGAAAUGGGAAAAGCUGUAAUUAUGUAUUUACUCACUCAGUGCAUUGUGAACGUUUUCAGGUAAUUGUGUGUAUUUUCCUGCUGUUGUGUAUUUUAUAUUGUCAAAGACUUAACCUUUUAAGGUCAUUGUGGCUGGAGGCACAUUGUAUUACGUAGUGACUUACAUUCCUCAACACCAUUUUUAUUCACAGUACCUCACAAUCGUGUUUCAGCUAAAACAAUCCAGAGUUCUGUUGAUUCAGAUCCUCAUUAUGUUCUACCAUGUACAUUCAUAAAUGCACUCCAUGGAUAGUUAGAUUCAGAGUAGUAUACUAUGUCGGUGUUGAUUUUGUAAAUGUCUCCAGUUGGGAUGUUUUUAAAAAAUUGAUACUGAAAGUCCUUUAUCAUGGUGAAAGCAGUGAAUCUCCCACCAGUUGUUAUUCCUCUUCCAUAAAUGCAGAGGGAAUCUGAGCUUGUGUGUUAUUGUAGGUGUCCAGAACCCAUAUUCCUUCUGGUCUCAUUCUCGUACAGUAAUUUGAAGUUGUAAAGGACAUAUUUUGCUUUGUGUGUAUUCGCUUUAAAAUGCAGAAUGAGCUCUGAGAAUACCGCCAUUUGCAAUUGAAAAAAAAAAGAUAUUUCAUAUAAUUAGGCGGCCUAUAUCUGUUGUCUGUGAAGAUGCUGAAUAUGUUUUAUUUUGGUAUGUCAGAUGUAUAAUGCAAACAAUCAGCUAAAAUGUUUUACUCCAAACAGUUAUCUUAAUAUAUUUAUUUCCUAAGCAAAAUAUCCUCUCUUUUUUUCUAGUCUUAGAGUGCGGAAUGGGAAGGAUGUACUUGUCUAUAGGUUUGAGGCCAGCCUGGUCUUGGAAGGUGUGUUCCAUUCGUCAGCGAGCAACAUUGGGGAGUCGCGGGUGGCAGCAUAGUGUGCCACGUUAGGCAGGCCGGGCACGACGCAACAACCGAGGGCACUGCGGAAAGUGGGCAUGUCGUGGGCGUCAUACCACUCGUCUGUCUUCCCGUCGUAGCACUCCACGUUGUAGGUGGUGUUGAAACCAUUGAAGCCGCCCACCACGAAGAGCAGGUCAUCCACCACGGCGAUGCCAAAGUUGCUGCGCGGGUUGAACAUGGUGGGCAAGGCGCGCCAGGUGUUGUCCAGUGGGUUGUAGACCGCUGCGGUCUUCAGACGGUUGGCGCCGUCAAAGCCUCCGACCUAGGGUAGAACAAUCUUGUGAGUCUGAGGCUAAUUGGAUUUCAAAUGUUGUGAGAAAGAAACAGAAGCUAGAGGCAAUUCAUCUGUAUGUUUAAUUAGCCACAUAUACAUUCAUUAUAAACUUUACAUUUCAUGGAAAGAAAAGUUUCAUGAAAGAACAGCUGCUUAUAUUCAAGUUGUACCGUCAAAAUGUAACUUGCUUGACAGCCUGAGACUAUUGAGCUAAUUGACGUCUCCAUCUAUUCCAGACUGGUAGUUUUACACAGCAAUCAAUCUCACUGAGGAGCCGAGCACCAUUGCCUCCUAAGGCCAUCUCAGUGCUCCAGGUCGUCCUUCUUGAUGAGGUCGAGGAGUUGGGCCAGAGACAGCUCCAGGAACUCCUGGGAGCAGCAGAUGAUUUCCUCAAAGUGGUGCAGGAUGAAGAACAGUGCUCGGCGCUGCAGCUCCGGGCAGGAGUAGAAGUCGGCAAACUUGCAGAUGCCGAUGCAGUUUUCCAGACACAGCUGGGUCUCCAGGAAGUGGCAGCAGGCCUGCACGAUGCCCAGGAUGGAGAACUGGUCUGCUGCCUCUAGGAGCAACUCCACGUUGUCCGCCGUGACCGGGACGGUCCGGGUGUAGGCGUACUCGAUGAGCAUCCUCAUAAUCUCAGGAGAUACACCUGGGAUGGUGUACAUACGUUUCUCGCAGGGGUUCCAGCCACUGGUGAACAGAGCACUGCAGAGGGAAAAAGGGAGAACAUUGACAACUCACUGAGGGACAGUUUCACACAUCACAGACCCAGAAUAAGGAAACCAAUUCUCAAAAAAUGUAACUGUCCAGAGUUGGAUACAUGUAUCUGGCCUAUGAAACUCUUUUGAUUAAGCAUUAAGCAUAGUCCAGAAAUAAUUGAAGAUGUGUCUAUGAAGACAAAUUAGGAUGAAUCUGAAUUAAAUGUAUUUACAGAAGGCGGCUCAAUCGUGUUGGGAAACUGGGCUAGUGUUGGUACUCUCUCCUGGGCAUGGAUUGAGGCUAAAGUCUCUAUUCUUCAUCUAUGUCAAUUCAUAUUUAGAAUGUUGAAGUUAUUUUUGUUUUCAUGUUUAUGGUACAAUUACCACAGACAAGCCUCUCACCGGAAAUACGAGCUGCAUCCACACAGGAUAGUCUUGUGGGCACUGAACUCAACUCCCUCGACUUUGAUGACCACAUCGCAGAGUUUCUCUUCCAGGCGUAGCUCAUUGAAAAUGUUGCAGGCCAUGGCACCGGUAGUCUUCUCCUUUUGAAAUUUGGUUAAGGUUCUAGACUCUUGCCUGUCUUCAGCAGACUUUUUAGUUUGUGAAAUGUUUGAUGUGAUCGAGAGAGAACUUUGCUUUCCAUUCUUGUUGAGUUCUAGAACAUCCAUACAUUGAUAUAUCACAAUGGCAUUUCUUCCACUUCUCUGUUGAUACAAAGCAAUCAAUUUACCAUGGUAACGUGAUCCAAUAAUGAAAUAAUCUAAAACAAAAAAGUUAAGAGCCCCAAAAUAUAAAAUGUACAAUAAAAUGUUUAAAUUGUAAUUAUUGUUAACUUAAAACUGACAUUCUAUAUUUAAAAAAUAAAAUAUGUCAAAACAGA